rnacentral:rRNA from 1 species
GAUAAACGCUGGCGGCGUGCAUAAAACAUGUAAGUCGGACGGGGUAAGGCCGCAAGGCCGAGCCCAGUGGCGGCCGGCUGAGUAACGCGUAGGUGACUUGCCCGGAAGUGGGGAAUAACGAUUCGAAAGAAUCGCUAAUACCGCAUAUGAUUGUGCGUAUAGACACGUGCAAUCAAAGCCCGCAAGGGCGCUAUCGGAGAGGCCUGCGUCCGAUUAGCUAGUUGGUGGGGUAACGGCCUACCAAGGCGACGAUCGGUAGCUGAUCUGAGAGGAUGAUCAGCCAGACUGGGACUGAGACACGGCCCAGACUCCUACGGGAGGCAGCAGUUAGGAAUUUUGCACAAUGGGGGAAACCCUGAUGCAGCAACGCCGCGUGGAUGAUGAAGGCCUUCGGGUCGUAAAAUCCUUUUCAACGGGAAGAUACAGACGGUACCGUUGGAAUAAGCUUCGGCUAACUACGUGCCAGCCGCCGCGGUAAGAC